UUUCUCUUCUGCAUGUCUAUGGAAUUUUAAAAAAUCCAAGCAUCUCAAAGAUAGAGAGGUAGGAAUUUUUCGAAUGAAUCGCACUCCUUCGUAUAUGUCAAGAAUCCAUUAAUGAGAAGGGGCUAGGGAAAGCUUGAACCCAAUUCCUACAGUGAUUAAUAUAAGCACAAUUGAAAUUCCUGGGGAGUCAUACAUUUAUGUAUUGAUAAGGAAAAGCCGUGGUAAUACAGAGGAUGCAAGCGUUAUCUGGAAUGAUUGGCCAUAAAGCAUCUGUAGGUGGCUUUUUAAGUCCGCCGUCAAAUCCCAGGGCUCAACCAUGGACAGGCAGUGGAAACUGCCAAGAUGGAGUACAGUAAGGGCAGAGGGAAUUUCCGGUGGAGCAGUGAAAUGCGUAGAGAUCGGAAAGAACACCAACGGUGAAAGCACUCUGCUGGGCCGAUACUGACACUAAGAGAUGAAAGCUAGGGGAGUGAAUGGGAUUAAAUACCCCAAUAGUCCUAGCUGUAAACGAUGGAUACUGGACGUUGUGCGUAUCGACCCGUGCAGUGCUGUAGCUAACGUGUUAAGUAUCCCGCCUAGGGAGUACGUUAGCAAGAAUGAAACUCAAAGGAAUUGAUGGGGGCCCACAAAAGUGGUGGAGCAUAAGAUUUGAUUCGAUGCAAAGUGAAGAACCUUACAAGGGCUUGACAUGUCAUGAAUCCUCUUGAAAGAGAGGGAUGCCUUCAGGAACACUGACACAGGUGGUGCAUGGCUGUCGUCAGCUCGUGCCAUAAGGUGUUGGGUUAAGUCCCACAACGAGUGCAACCCUCGUGUUUAGUUGUCACUGUUGAGUUUGGAACCCUGAGCAGACUGUCGGUGAUAAGCCUGAGGAAGGUGAGGAUGACGUUAAGUCAUCAUGCCCUUUAUGCCCUGGGCGACACAUAUGCUACAAUGGCCGGGACAAAGGGUUGCAAUCCCGCAAGGGUGAGCUAACUCCAAAAACUCGUCCUCAGUUCAGAUUGCAGGCUGCAACUCGCCUGUAUGAAGCCGGAAACACUAGUAUGCUCGGGGAUGGAAAUGAGGGAAUGUCUAUAAUACCUGGAUUGAAUCAGAUACAAUUUG
rnacentral:rRNA from 1 species